rnacentral:rRNA from 1 species
UCGUCGCGUCCGGUGUGAAAGUCCAUCGCUUAACGGUGGAUCUGCGCCGGGUACGGGCGGGCUGGAGUGCGGUAGGGGAGACUGGAAUUCCCGGUGUAACGGUGGAAUGUGUAGAUAUCGGGAAGAACACCAAUGGCGAAGGCAGGUCUCUGGGCCGUCACUGACGCUGAGGAGCGAAAGCGUGGGGAGCGAACAGGAUUAGAUACCCUGGUAGUCCACGCCGUAAACGGUGGAUGCUGGAUGUGGGGACCAUUCCACGGUCUCCGUGUCGGAGCCAACGCGUUAAGCAUCCCGCCUGGGGAGUACGGCCGCAAGGCUAAAACUCAAAGAAAUUGACGGGGGCCCGCACAAGCGGCGGAGCAUGCGGAUUAAUUCGAUGCAACGCGAAGAACCUUACCUGGGCUUGACAUGUUCCCGACAGCCGUAGAGAUACGGUCUCCCUUCGGGGCGGGUUCACAGGUGGUGCAUGGUCGUCGUCAGCUCGUGUCGUGAGAUGUUGGGUUAAGUCCCGCAACGAGCGCAACCCUCGCCCUGUGUUGCCAGCACGUCGUGGUGGGAACUCACGGGGGACCGCCGGGGUCAACUCGGAGGAAGGUGGGGAUGACGUCAGAUCAUCAUGCCCCUUACGUCCAGGGCUUCACGCAUGCUACAAUGGCCGGUACAACGGGAUGCGAC